rnacentral:rRNA from 1 species
AGUGAACGCUGGCGGUAGGCCUAACACAUGCAAGUCGAACGGCAGCACAGUAAGAGCUUGCUCUUACGGGUGGCGAGUGGCGGACGGGUGAGGAAUACAUCGGAAUCUACUUUUUCGUGGGGGAUAACGUAGGGAAACUUACGCUAAUACCGCAUACGACCUACGGGUGAAAGCAGGGGAUCUUCGGACCUUGCGCGAUUGAAUGAGCCGAUGUCGGAUUAGCUAGUUGGCGGGGUAAAGGCCCACCCAGGCGACGAUCCGUAGCUGGUCUGAGAGGAUGAUCAGCCACAAUGGAACUGAGACACGGUCCAGACUCCUACGGGAGGCAGCAGUGGGGAAUAUUGGACAAUGGGCGCAAGCCUGAUCCAGCCAUACCGCGUGGGUGAAGAAGGCCUUCGGGUUGUAAAGCCCUUUUGUUGGGAAAGAAAAGCAGCAGGUUAAUACCCCGCUGUUCUGACGGUACCCAAAGAAUAAGCACCGGCUAACUUCGUG